UUUCCGUAGGUGAACCUGCGGAAGGAUCAUUAAUGAGUUGUCAUGGGGUUCGAUGCUGGCAGCCAAUUUUUGGAUGCAUGUGCUUGCCCUAACAAUCAUCUUCCAAACACCUGUGCACAUCUUUGAGGGAGUCUUGAGUUGGUUGCCGCUCUUGGGUGAUUUUCUCACAUUCCCUUAAAUCAUUAAACGCUAUUAACAAUGUUGAACGUGCUCUGUGCCGCAAGGCUAUUAAUAUAAUACAACUUUUAACAACGGAUCUCUUGGCUCUC
rnacentral:misc_RNA from 1 species